rnacentral:misc_RNA from 1 species
GUUGUUGCUAAUCUUAUAUACUUCUGUAAGCAUAUGGCAACCAUAUUCAUAAUGCAAUAUAUGGUCAGUCCCUAGUAAGGCAGUGUGGGUUUAGAAGGGUGGACUGUGGAGUGGGUGGAUCAUCUGUAUCUAGCAAUUGAGGACGGCUGUUUGACAUGCCUGUUAUAACCUGAUUCGGGAAUUAAAGAAUCCUUUUGUUUUCUGUAAUUAAAUUUUGGCUAAAAUUCUUUCUUGAUAAUGUAUUUAUCGAAGAUGUGCAAGAGAAAUUUUAUGAAAUUUGCUUUUGAGUCUCACUAUGAACAAUGCUUCAUGUUACAAGCCUCCAGUGUAAAGAGCCUGUGGCUGCUGAAAUAGAUAAUUUCAGAGCAUGUCAUAAAUUUCCUGUCAACUUCAUAUGGCAUUCUACGGUGUUCAUUAUUAUGUGGUAGCAGCAACAAAAAUCACUGUUGAAUCCAUAUUUUUGGGAGGGUGGAUUAUUAGUGGAGAUUGGAUGUUUGAAUACAGGAAUGUAAAUUUAACUGGGCUGUCUAAUAUAGUUAAAACUAGUUUUAGUGCUGACCUAUCUAGGACAAUCAUUAGCAAGCCCCAUUGAACACCAAAAUAGCAUUGAAUUUAUAUAUGCUCUAUUUUUCCCCCGUGAAAGCUGGAGCCUGGAAUAUUAUUGAAUUUUUAAUAUUUUUAACAAUGUGAUGCCUGUGUGAUGAAUCUUGUGCACAUCUUUCACAUUUUACCUUUAUUGUUGGAUAUAGGAAAUGCAAUUCAAUGGUCUGUAAAGAUUAUUGUCCAAUAAAAUUUAUAGCAGCCUCUCUGGUGUGUGACACAUUUUAGAUCUUGGGUGCAGAACG